UACCAUGCAGUCGAGCGGAGAUGAGGUGCUUGCACCUUAUCUUAGCGGCGGACGGGUGAGUAAUGCUUAGGAAUCUGCCUAUUAGUGGGGGACAACAUUCCGAAAGGAAUGCUAAUACCGCAUACGUCCUACGGGAGAAAGCAGGGGAUCUUCGGACCUUGCGCUAAUAGAUGAGCCUAAGUCGGAUUAGCUAGUUGGUGGGGUAAAGGCCUACCAAGGCGACGAUCUGUAGCGGGUCUGAGAGGAUGAUCCGCCACACUGGGACUGAGACACGGCCCAGACUCCUACGGGAGGCAGCAGUGGGGAAUAUUGGACAAUGGGGGGAACCCUGAUCCAGCCAUGCCGCGUGUGUGAAGAAGGCCUUAUGGUUGUAAAGCACUUUAAGCGAGGAGGAGGCUACUGAGACUAAUACUCUUGGAUAGUGGACGUUACUCGCAGAAUAAGCACCGGCUAACUCUGUGCCAGCAGCCGCGGUAAUACAGAGGGUGCGAGCGUUAAUCGGAUUUACUGGGCGUAAAGCGUGCGUAGGCGGCUUUUUAAGUCGGAUGUGAAAUCCCCGAGCUUAACUUGGGAAUUGCAUUCGAUACUGGGAAGCUAGAGUAUGGGAGAGGAUGGUAGAAUUCCAGGUGUAGCGGUGAAAUGCGUAGAGAUCUGGAGGAAUACCGAUGGCGAAGGCAGCCAUCUGGCCUAAUACUGACGCUGAGGUACGAAAGCAUGGGGAGCAAACAGGAUUAGAUACCCUGGUAGUCCAUGCCGUAAACGAUGUCUACUAGCCGUUGGGGCCUUUGAGGCUUUAGUGGCGCAGCUAACGCGGUAAGUAGACCGCCUGGGGAGUACGGUCGCAAGACUAAAACUCAA
rnacentral:rRNA from 1 species